rnacentral:lncRNA from 1 species
GGGGCUUCCUGGCUGCUGCGGCCAGGACAGCAUCUCCUCUGGUUGGAAAGGCUCCCAGGAAGCCCGGGCUGCAGAGAAAUGGCAGCCCUGCAGCUGUUCUCAGCCCCUCCCUGGCCGGCACGGAUUUCCCCGCCUGGUGCCCAGCCAAGCCUAGCCUGCCCUCUCUGUUUCAGUCCUGGCCUUGACCCAGACUCUGAGCUCCCAAGUCCUGAUGCCUCCAGUCCUUCUGCCAAGGAUGUCAGUGGUGCUCAGGCCCACCAUAACCCCCCAGGAAGUUCAGAAUGUAAGAGGCUGGUGGUCAGGGGGAAAGGGAGGGAGGGAAGGAGGCAGGGCAGGGGGCUCAGGGUGGGACUUCAGGCCCUGGGACCAGGCCUGCAGGGCCCAGCCUUUUUUUGACCAACCCUCCUGUGUCCCAGGGAGCAGCAGAUGCCACUGCUAAAGGUGAGUGCAAGCACCUUCAAUAUGAAUGCGGCAGUCCUGCCCUGGCCUGCCCCAGCCGCAGCCCUGCAGGCCACAGGCUCCCUCCCUGUCCCUCAGGCCCCACUUUGCUGAGGGGGUCCCUGCAGCUCUGACUCCAGCUGAGAUCAGGCCUGAGGGACCCUCUUGAGCAUCUUCCAGGAUCUGGACCAAAUAAGGAGGCUCCCCGUCUGUGCCCCCAAAUCACUCCUUAUUUGGAGGUUACACCAGGGCACCUGGAGAGUGGGGGAGCACUGGGCACUCUAGUUUGGGCUUCAGGCCUGUGUACACCCCUCCAUCUCCCCCGCAGCUUCCCUCCAAAAGCCUCCUUUGCUGACCCCCACCCGCCCUGCCCAGCUCUGUAACCUGCUUCUUCUGUAAUAGCAGGAAAGAGACCGCCUCUUCCCUCUGCAGCCCCCUCCGGAAGCGCCUCAGCUGCCGAGGUGAGGAGGGGCUGGGCACGGGCUGGGCAGGAGGCCUGAGGGGACCAUAGCCUGAGCAUCUUCACCUGGCCCCCUCUGCUUUCCUUGUAUUCUCUCACCACCCUCCCCAACACACAUUUGCCUUCAGACACCCACUCCUGUUGCAGGUCCAGCUGACCACACUGUGCCUACAUGGGAGGUGACCACCCGAGAGCAAAGGCUGGGUGGGGCUUCCUGGC